AAAGGUUUUGACCAAGCAUCAUGAAUGCAAAUUUGCAAAGUCAAAAAGCAGUGUGAAAAAAAAUCUAGAGGUUAUUAGUUGUAGCGAUAUCACCUACGUCAGGAAGUCCUUGACCAUCAAGUUAGGAAAACAAAAGUUUUUUUUCUCAGUAUGUUCUCUUGGCUCAGUUCUUGAUCAGUGCUAUUGUCUCUCUCUCUCCACUCCAUAUCAUUACAGCCUUCCCCUGUGGAUCAGAUCAACCCUGAGAAUGCUAUACUCUGCUGUCAGUGCUUCCUCUUGGUUUAGCAGAACACAGCAGUCUAGAGAACAUUGUCAUAGAUUAUUUUUUAGAUCCUGCAGGCAUUAUAAGGGCACAGACUAAUGCAGCGGCUCUAAGUGCCAGGGUAACUGAGAAUGUCUCAAGUGAAAAAAGGAACUGCAGAUGCAGGGGAUGUUGAAAAUCAGUGGCUGCUUGCUAGUUACUCUGCUUGAAGCUCAAUACACAGGCUCCAUACCUUCCCUUCCUACCGCAUUUUUUUAAGUACAGCAAGUACGUAGAGUCCACUAAUACCUACAGAUCAGGAAAUAGUAGGUAAUGCUGUGCAGCAGAAACAUUUACUCAUUUGUCUUAAAUUCUCAUACAAGUAAGUUUUCAGAUACCUGCUGUCCUCUGAAGUACUUCAUCUGUGUGCAUCCUAAAAAGACUCCUGUGUCUAGCUAUAAAUAUUUCUUUCCAAUACAUCUUCAAUGUAGUCCUUAAUAAUACAAAACCGAAACAAAGACAAUAGCUUUUUGUUAGACUCUUUCAUUCUUCUAUACAGAAAAACGAUGAACAAGACAGGAGUUAGUGUUUCAGCUUUAAUUUUGCUAAGCUUUCUUUAUUACUUGCUAUCUCGUGCUUACAUUAAGCACAAAUACAGAGAUUCCUGUCUAUCCGAAGCCAGAUUUUUGGCCCAUAAUGAAUGCAUGGUCAGAGUAUUAGCUUGCCUUUCUGUAUUUUAUAUAGACAGAGGAUUGCUUUUAUAAAUCACUCAAGAAGCAUGGUACUACUAUAAACCUCGUCUCGUAUAUACCUUCUUAUGUGUAUUCUCUUAGACAGACUGGGCUGAAGCCAAAUCUACCUGAGAGCACAGUGAAACUAUCAAGUUCUGAGUCCUGAUCCUUGUUUGUGGUAGCUGUGGCAAAUGGGAGAAAUUACUUCCCUCAGUUAUCCACUUCUCCCUUCUAUUGGAUGCUGCUGCUCUACACCAGCAGACAAUAUCUUGCAGCUUUCUGCAGCCUGCCACACUAGUUCAAAAUAAGAUUGACAGCUGUCUGGCAAGUCACAAGUCUGUAGAACCUUGAUCCCUCACUGUGUAUUGUUAGCACAGAGUAAUUUCCUGCAUAUAAAAAUUUAAAGUAUUAAAAAAUUGGAAAGGAGUACGCUUCAAACAGCAACCUGAAAUGUUAACCUGAAAUGCAGUAAUCAUAAGAAUGUCAGAAUCAGAGAAUUCUGAAAUAUUGUUCUGUUAGUGUUUUGAUGAUAAAUAUUAGCUCGAGAGCUAAGACAUAUGGCUACUGACAUGCAAAAAAUUAAUUAAUACACUACCAGUUGCAGAUUGCAAAUGUAUGUUUACUAACUAAUAGGAAAAACAGUGUUUAUAGGUUAAUUCCAUUUUAAAAUCUCUUGCUAUUUUGGAGUUGGGGACUGAAGUUAACAGCAGUACAGGCUGACUGGAGGUGUUUUAAAAUGGCACUCCUUCAUACAAAAACUGGACUAGAUUUCAGCAGAUGCAGGGUGCUGCUAUCUGCGGGAAGCGGGUUUCCUUAAAUACCAUGAAACUGAUAGUGUAGUGUAAUGUUUUUGUAUUAGUUGGUUCUGUAGUUUGGGAGCCUACUGGGCUGAAUUCAGAUCUGGAGGCAUGAAUUCCUACGUUUGAAACCAACUUAGAAGAUGGCUGUUUUUGGCUUGGGCAUGUGUUUUCAUUUGAGGUAACAGACUAGCAUUUGAGUCUGUGUGCUUAAAGUUAAGCAUCAAGAAUAAGCCCCCAAGCAACUUCAAGAAAUGUUUAAGAACAUGAAGUGCUCCUGUUAAGUUUUGACAGCCAACAAAACUGAAGAUGCAGUAAAUAACCUCUGUGAGACUGACCCUAUAGCUUAAGAGCGAAGAUGAGUGUGUACACACAAGGUGCCAUCAGCCAGCCUUGCAUCCCUCACAAAAUGAGAAUGAUAAUGCAUGUGUUAAGAAACUUGUCUGCAUCUGAACACCAGCCACUUGUCUAAGAGACCCAGGUGACUGUCCACUGGAAAGGACCUGCUCUUCAAAUUAUUGGGUGUUCAGAUACCCUUGGAACAUUUAGAAAGCAAAACAAGAAUAAAAAAGAAGUGCUCAAUAGCAGUUUGCCACCAUGCUGGUGGAUGGUACAGCUCUGAUGGUGCUGGUGAUGUGGCAGUACUCACUAAAGAAGACUGUAAUAGAGGCAGCAGUACUGAGAUAUGGAGACACUGUACCUCACUCGUGGGCAUUCAUGUCAAGAAAGAUCUGUGAUCUCUUGUACCAGACUGUGUUCCUACCUUGGCUUUGAUACUGCUACAGUGCAAAAGAGUUGUUAUCCACGUGCAAAAUCUAUGUAUUUUAAGCAGCUUAAAUGAACCUCUCUGCUAGGACUACGACUUCACUACCAUUAAGAAUGAGAGAGCACUGAUGGCUAUCACCAGCUCAAGGGAGAAGCAAGUCAGCAAGGACCUCUGAGAUGGAAAUCAGUGUCCAUGGAGCCAAAGCACCUCUUGGGAGCUCUCAUAUUUCACCUGUUGUUUAUUCCAAAGUUCCUGUUGCCUUCAGCUCUUAGUGUUUAGUAAGGGAUCCAUAGGAUAAGAGAAAGGCUAUUCCUAAUCUGAUUUUACAGAAGAUGCUAAGAUGUAUCCUUUCUAUUCAUAAUGCUGUUAUCUCGCAUCUACUUUUCUACCAGUUUGUUUUUAAAAUUUUUAAUCCCUUAUUGACAUAAUAAAGGAAGAUAAGUGACUGUAUUUCCCAUUCGUCCUUGGUUCUAUGAUGCUGGAAGUUUGAUUUCAAUGGAUUUAGCAUCAGCUUAACUUGAUUUGGGGUUAUUCCCUCAAUGUCUUCAAAGGAUUUUUAUAGAAGACACUGAUGUGAAAAACGCAUUUCAGAGACAAUUAUUGUAUUGCUUUGUUUCCCCCCCAGUCCAAUGUACAGUAAGAACUGUAGCAUUUAAAAUGUUUUCUUGCAUAAAUUUACACAACAUCUCUAAGCUGAAGUGCGUACUAGCAUUAGAGUUGCAGUUGGGUGAAAACAAUUGGAAAGGAUGCAUCUUCAGUCCCUCAUGUUUCUUUCAGACUAGAGUAUCCUGGCAGAGCUUUUUUUCAUACAUUUAAGCAAUAGGCUAAUAUGGUUCUAUCACAAUUAAAAGUGUGAGAGUUUACAAAUGCUAACUUUGCAAGGAAGGUUAUCAAAACUCUCAGAAUACACAUUCAAGAUAUCUUUUUUUAUUAUUAUUUGUCAUUUCAUCUUAGGUAUAGGUAACUUUUUGAACAACUUUCUGAAGAGCUUGCUUUAGGAAAGAAAACUAUUUUAUGGGGGAAUUACUGUCUCCCAGUAUUAAAAAGACAUUUUGUUUGUAUUAAUUUAGGUAUUGUCUAACUUCAGUGAUAAGAAAUACGUCAUAAACCAUACAGUGCAUAGUAACCACCUGUGAUUGGCAUGGUUUGUUCUAUUUAUUUUUUAGUUUUCAGAAAAUGCUCUGUUAUCUUUAGUCCCCACUGCUUAGGCUUGUGAUACCAGUUCUCUCUGCUUAUGUAGAGAUUUGCUUGACACAAGACGUUGUCAAUUCUGUGAAAUAAGCAGUUGCUCAUUACUAGCAAAAUAUAGUUAUUUUACAGUUAUUUUACAGGCUGAGCAGUCAAAAGAAGAGCAGAAGCGAGGUUUAAGUGCUGAGAAACUGAUGAGGAAAGCUUCAAAGGAUGUAUGUCGGCUACGGGAGCAGAGUCAGAAAGUGCCACUACAGGUGCAGUCAUUCAGGGAGAAGAUAGCAUAUUUCACAAGAGCAAAGAUCAGUAUACCAGCCCUUCCAGCUGAUGAUGUAUAAUUAUGCAUAUUCAUUCAAGUGUUUUUUCCAUUGCUCAUCUUUUUUUUUUUAGUAUGACCUUCAUAUUUCUAGUGACCUGCUUUUACAGCUCUUCUAUUUUACAUUCAAUAUUGAUACGUUUAUUUGUAAAAUACAGCAAACUGAAUUGUUGUAUGUCUAAAAAAAAAAAAUGACAAAAAAAGGAAAACCAAAGUAGAUCAAUUUUGGUAUACUGAUGCUGAUUUUGUACAGUUUGUAUGUAUUGCAUGUGUUUUAUUUUGUAAAGAUGGAACAAAGGAACAAAGGCAGUACUGAGCGUGUAUCCUGUUGAACCGCACUGUAUUGAGAAAUAUUACGUUCAACAGAAGAUUGUUUAUCUUUUCACUAUUUUCAUGUGAGCAGACUGUGAAGAUGGCUGUUUUGCCAUGCAAUAUUUUUGUAUAAGAGUGUGACUUUUGUAGUUUGAAGUUAACUACAAGUGUAAGCUUCUUUCAAAAACGUCAAGGCUGCCUCACAACAGCUGCUAACUAGAUUCAUCACCCACAUUGGAGGUUUUGUUUCUGAAAAUAAAUUUCUUCUGUUCUUGUUCUGUAAUAUUGUGUAGCGAGAGACAAAAUUCAGUUCUGUGAAUGUACAGUACUUUAACCUUCACUAAAAGGUUUCUUGCAUCUGUGGGAGAGUGGGGAAAGACAAGACAGACAAGCAACCCUAAAAACUUCCUGUGAGACUACCGAAAGGGCAGCUGCUUUCUCAACUGGAAGCUGAAUCAAAUUGGUAAUACCAACAGUGAAAUCAGAAUAGUUACAUCUACUGUACGCUUAAAAUGAGUUUCUCUGUAUUAGUCUCUUGUCCUAGAGGCUGCCCUGUUGCCAGCUAGGAGAAUAUGAAAGUGUUAAUUAGGUUUACAGUUAUGAAGAGGAUUUUAUGAAAGUAUUUGUACCAGGAGAAAAGUUUGUCCCCAGUAACUUGGAUAUCAGAAAUUUGUUGAAGUAAACUCUCUCUGGAAAAGAUCCUGACUAGAAGGCGCCAUGUAUUUCAGUAUAAUCACGUUAUCCACAUAUGCGUGGCCUUAAUGUCUCAAAAGAGUUGUAAUUGGUGAGAAAAUGGAAGUGAAUAUAACUAACAUUAUGGUAGCAGCUGUCUGAAAUUCGCAGUGACAAUUCUGUGAUGAGAGAUCUGUGUAAGCCUUACCCAAGGGCUUUCUUAUGCACAAACACAUCAGUUCACUUAAACAUAUAGCCAGAUGUGCUAUUUGGGGCAAGAUGCUGGUUAAACAUCAUUUAUGAAUGCCUCACUUGUUUUUUCUUUGUUGGGUUUGAGAUAACAUAUUUGAAAGGUCAAUUAAAAAAAAAUAAAUCUGGAAUUAUUUAAUGUAGAGGUGAAAUGAAGGUUGACAGUUUCAACUUCUCAAUUUGAUUAUAUGUUUGUAGAAUGAUGUUUAGAGGUGUACUUUGUGAUUUUUCUUUUAUUUAUUUACAGUCUUAUUUAUGUUGUGUUUAAUAUAGUUCAGUUCUGGCCAUAAAAAUAUUUCACAUGUGAUGCUAUUGUGAAAAGUAUUUAGAGCUGUCUGAAUUCUUGCCAGAUCAGCUGUUUUUCUUCACAUGUUGAAUAAUUUUCAAAAAGUAUUAUCAUAUAUUUGUAAGCAUGAAGUAAGGUCAAAAUUUAAGGAUUGUUGGCCUUAGCUCACAAAACUCAUUGCAAAAUGUGCCUCGUUUUCCAAAUUGGUAAAGUUAAACAUAUUUUAGGCAGCUUUUAACAAUUCUGCUUUUUUUUUAAUAAGUUUAAAUUAUCUGACCUCAAAACACUCAAUAGAAUAAGCUAACACAUACAAAUAAUCCUGUCAGUUUACAAUUAUAGAUAUUACUCAAAGUAGAAUUUACUCUGCACAGCAGAGUGUAACAAAUGCAAUUAGUUCUGCUUCCAGGUACCACUAUCACUGCAGUUGCAGAUAUCAAAAUUAAAUAUUACUGGUACAAGAAUAUUUAACCAAAUGAGCAAAGGUUAGAAAAAAAUUGUAAUAGAAGGCAAAUCAAAUAAGAAUUUUUUAAAGAUAUUGCUAUGUUUAUGCUGUAUUAAAUAUCAAAUGCUCAGGACUGAACUAAAUAUUUAAUCAGGUUAUAUGCUGAAUGUGGUUCUGUUCUAAUUUUGUCUGUAAAAGUAUGCAAAUACAUCACGUAGAUUAACUUGUCUCUGCACUUUCCAUGUGUUUCAGUGAUCAGAAAAUACAUUUUUUUUAACAAA